GAGUAAAAAUCGUAAAACCGGCUAUUGGUUUUGUUGGCAGGUAUUAAUCGUAAACACUAAGCAUAUAGAGUAUCGGAGGGGCAUAUAGCUUAUAACCAGGGUGACAAACUUGAGCUUCCUAUUCUUCGCCUUUUUUGUUUGAGGAUAUUUAUUCAGAAAAAUUGUUUUUCCACUUUUAAAGACCCAAGAAAACAAGGCAACAGUCAAAACAAAUUCCAAAGUAACACGAUUUUUCCAAGUCGAUUGAAUAAUUAAAGCAUAAUAGUUGUUUGUUGUGUAUAUAAAUACUGUUUGCUAUGCUCCUAAAUUGCAGGGUGUUUCAGACUUGGGCUCUUUUGCUUAUGUAUACUGCGCAGCUCAGAAAUCUUCUGAUCCUGAAUUGCUACGUGAAAUGUGCGUGGAUACAAGGUUUUGCCGUCAUUUCUCUGGAAAGUGCAAAUAUGAAUGCCGGUCUUCGCACUCUCAGACAGUUGGUUUGGGGACUGGGAGGCUGAGAGGUUACGUUUCUCUUUUUUGGGUCCGAGCUUCGGACGAGCAGAAUCCCUUGUGUUGGCAUAUGGGAAGAUUUGGGAUAAAAUCUCUCUUAAAUUUGGAAUGCAGCUAUUGUUCUUCUAAAUUUCAAACUUCAAGUACAUCCCUAAUUUAUAUUGCCUCUUUUGGUCAUAAUGAUAUCAGUAUUGCACAUGUUUAGAUUAGUAACCAAAUUGUUGUUGGCGUGCUUGUUAAGUUGGGUUACUUGUAUUUGUUUGCAACAUUCAAAUAUAUAUAUAUAUAUAUAUAUA
rnacentral:lncRNA from 1 species